rnacentral:misc_RNA from 1 species
GAUGAAGAACGUAGCGAAAUGCGAUACUUGGUGUGAAUUGCAGAAUCCCGUGAACCAUCGAGUCUUUGAACGCAAGUUGCGCCUCAAGCCAUUAGGUUGAGGGCACGUCUGCCUGGGCGUCACAUAUCGUUGCCUGAUGCCAGUUUCCUCGUGAUGGGUGACUGUGCAGGGCGAAUGAUGGCUUCCCGUGAGCAUUGUUGCCUCAUGGUUGGUUUAAAAUUGAGUCCUUGGUAGGGAGCGCCGUGAUAGAUGGUGGUUGAGUGACGAACGAGACCCAAUCAUGUGAGACCCCUACCGAAUUUGGCCUUCAUGACCCACAUGCGUCUUUGGAACGCUCAUGACGAGACCUCAGGUCAGGCGGGGCUACCCGCUGAGUUUAAGCAUAUCAAUAAGCGGAGGA